rnacentral:rRNA from 1 species
GACGAACGCUGGCGGCGUGCUUAACACAUGCAAGUCGAACGGAAAGGCCCUGCUUGCAGGGUACUCGAGUGGCGAACGGGUGAGUAACACGUGGGUGAUCUGCCCUGCACUUCGGGAUAAUCCUGGGAAACUGGGUCUAAUACCGGAUAGGAGCCAUUUUUAGUGUGAUGGUUGGACAGUUUUUUCGGUGUAGGAUGAGCUCGCGGCCUAUUAGCUUGUUGGUGGGGUAAUGGCCUACCAAGGCGGCGACGGGUAGCCGGCCUGAGAGGGUGGACGGCCACACUGGGACUGAGAGAAGGCCCAGGCUCCUACGGGAGGCAGCAGGGGGGAAUAUUGAACAAGGGGCGCAAGCCGGAUGCAGCGAGGCCGCGUGGGGGAUGACGGCCUUCGGGUUGAAAACUCCUUUCGCGAGGGACGAAGCGUUUUGUGACGGUACCUAGAGAAGAAGCACCGGCUAACUACGUG